rnacentral:rRNA from 11 species
GGCUAACUACGUGCCAGCAGCCGCGGUAAUACGUAGGGUGCAAGCGUUGUCCGGAAUUAUUGGGCGUAAAGAGCUCGUAGGCGGUUUGUCGCGUCUGCUGUGAAAAUCCGAGGCUCAACCUCGGACCUGCAGUGGGUACGGGCAAACUAGAGUGCGGUAGGGGAGAUUGGAAUUCCUGGUGUAGCGGUGGAAUGCGCAGAUAUCAGGAGGAACACCGGUGGCGAAGGCGGUUCUCUGGACCUUUCCUGACGCUGAGGAGCGAAAGCGUGGGGAGCAAACAGGCUUAGAUACCCUGGUAGUCCACGCCGUAAACGGUGGGCACUAGGUGUGGGGGACAUUCCACGUUCUCCGUGCCGUAGCUAACGCAUUAAGUGCCCCGCCUGGGGAGU